CAGCAGCCGCGGUAAUACGGAGGGUGCAAGCGUUAAUCGGAAUUACUGGGCGUAAAGCGUGCGUAGGCGGUUCGCUAAGUCUGUUGUGAAAGCCCCGGGCUCAACCUGGGAAUGGCAAUGGAUACUGGCGAGCUAGAGUGUGUCAGAGGAUGGUGGAAUUCCCGGUGUAGCGGUGAAAUGCGUAGAGAUCGGGAGGAACAUCAGUGGCGAAGGCGGCCAUCUGGGACAACACUGACGCUGAGGCACGAAAGCGUGGGGAGCAAACAGGAUUAGAUACCCCAGUAGUCCCUGUCUCUUAUAC
rnacentral:rRNA from 1 species